UGAGGGUUAUAUUAGCUGUGUGAACUUUGUAAAUGCGCUGUAAUAUAGUCGACAGCUCGUGUGGCAGGAAGCUCGCGUCUUAAAGGGCGGCGCCGAGUGAAAAUCAGUGCAUAGUUAAUGAUGCCCCAAAAUAGGCAGUUAAAAAAAUUAAUUUAAAAAAAUCUAUGGGGUAUUUUGAGCUGAAACUUCACAGACACAUUCAGGAGACACCUUAGACUUAUAUUACAUCUUGUGAAAAACGUUCUUGGGCACCUUUAAGUGUGUUAAGAAACACAUUCAUGAAAGUGUGCUCCCUUUAAGUGCACUUAAGUUGCCUUUUAUUAUAUUACUUUAAAGUCUAUUUAAAGUGAUGAUAAGAAUGUUGUCUGUCACAUUCAUCUCUAAUAAAAUGUGUUAAGAUGUUUGUUAAGAGAGUUGUUUGUCGUCCCACUGCUCUUCUUCUCUCAGGCAACACUCCUCCUAAAGUGAUCAUCCUGCCCCCGUCCAGUGCAGAGAUCUCCUCUGUGAACACAGCGACGCUGCUGUGUGUGGCCAGCGAGGGCUUCCCGUCAGACUGGAGCCUGAGCUGGAAGGUGGACGGGAGCAGCAGGUCUCAGGAGAGCAGCGCUGGGCUCCUGGAGAAGGACGCUCUGUACAGCUGGAGCAGCAGCCUGACUCUCUCUGAGCAGGAGUGGAUGAAGAGCGUGUCAGUGAGCUGUGAGGCCACACGGAGCGGCCAGCCUGCGGUCACUGCACAACUGAAGAGAGAUCAGUGUUCAGAGUAGAUCCGCUCAGUCUCUCCUCUGCCUUCUGCUUCAUCCUUCUGACUGAUCAUGUCUCACUUCUGCUUCUCUGAUCUCAUUCACACAAGAGCAUGCUAUGAUUUUCUGUUAUAACUGAAAUAAAAUAAAUA